rnacentral:rRNA from 1 species
UGGGGAAUCUUGGACAAUGGGCGCAAGCCUGAUCCAGCCAUGCCGCGUGAGUGAUGAAGGCCUUAGGGUUGUAAAGCUCUUUUGCCGGGGACGAUAAUGACGGUACCCGGAGAAUAAGUCCCGGCUAACUUCGUGCCAGCAGCCGCGGUAAUACGAAGGGGACUAGCGUUGUUCGGAAUCACUGGGCGUAAAGCGCACGUAGGCGGAUUUGUAAGUCAGGGGUGAAAUCCCGGGGCUCAACCUCGGAACUGCCUUUGAUACUGCGGAUCUCGAGUCCGAUAGAGGUGAGUGGAAUUCCUAGUGUAGAGGUGAAAUUCGUAGAUAUUAGGAAGAACACCGGUGGCGAAGGCGGCUCACUGGAUCGGUACUGACGCUGAGGUGCGAAAGCGUGGGGAGCAAACAGGAUUAGAUACCCAGGUAGUCCCUGAGCGGGCUGGCAAGGCGCAU